CGGACGGGUGAGUAACGCGUGAGGAACCUGCCUCAGAGUGGGGGAUAACACACCGAAAGGUGUGCUAAUACCGCAUAACAUACGGGAGGGGCAUCCCUUUCAUAUCAAAGAUUUAUUGCUCUGAGAUGGCCUCGCGUCCAAUUAGCUAGUUGGCGGGGUAACGGCCCACCAAGGCGACGAUUGGUAGCCGGACUGAGAGGUUGAACGGCCACAUUGGGACUGAGACACGGCCCAGACUCCUACGGAAGGCAGCAG
rnacentral:rRNA from 1 species